UACGGGGGGAGCAAGCGUUGUUCGGAUUUACUGGGCGUAAAGGGCGCGUAGGCGGCCACCGCAAGUCGACUGUGAAAUCUCCGGGCUUAACCCGGAAAGGUCAACCGAUACUGCGGGGCUAGAGUGCAGAAGGGGCAACUGGAAUUCUCGGUGUAGCGGUGAAAUGCGUAGAUAUCGAGAGGAACACCUGCGGCGAAGGCGGGUUGCUGGGCUGACACUGACGCUGAUGCGCGAAAGCUAGGGGAGCGAACGGG
rnacentral:rRNA from 1 species